rnacentral:rRNA from 1 species
CCCUUAGAUGUUCUGGGCCGCACGCGCGCUACACUGACGCAUUCAACGAGUCUCCUUGGCCGAGAGGCCUGGGUAAUCUUGUGAACGUGCGUCGUGAUAGGGAUAGAUUAUUGCAAUUAUUAAUCUUGAACGAGGAAUUCCUAGUAAACGCAGAUCAUCAAUCUGCAUUGAUUACGUCCCUGCCCUUUGUACACACCGCCCGUCGCACCUACCGAUUGGAUGGUCCGGUGAGGCCUCGGGAUUGUGGCCGGUGCAUUCAUUUGUGUCGGUCGCGAGAACUUGUCCAAACCUUAUCAUCUAGAGGAAGGUGAAGUCGUAACA